GCGCCGAUAGUGUAGCGGUUAUCACCGGGCGUUGCCAACGCUCGAACUCGGGUUCGAUUCCCGAUCGGCGCA
rnacentral:tRNA from 2 species